UACAGAGGGUGCAAGCGUUGUUCGGAAUUAUUGGGCGUAAAGCGCGUGUAGGCGGCUUGGCAAGUCAGAUGUGAAAGCCCUCGGCUUAACCGAGGAAGUGCGUCUGAAACUGCUGAGCUUGAGUCUCGGAGAGGAUGGCGGAAUUCCGCAAGUAGAGGUGAAAUUCGUAGAUAUGCGGAGGAACACCGGUGGCGAAGGCGGCCAUCUGGACGAGUACUGACGCUGAGACGCGAAAAGCGUGGGGAGCAAACAGG
rnacentral:rRNA from 1 species